AAUAUUGGACAAUGGGCGAAAGCCUGAUCCAGCCAUGCCGCGUGUGUGAAGAAGGUCUUCGGAUUGUAAAGCACUUUAAGUUGGGAGGAAGGGCAGUAAGUUACUACCUUGCUGUUUUGACGUCACCGACAGAAUAAGCACCGGCUUACUUCGUGCCAGCAGCCGCGGUAAUAAGAAGGGUGCAAGCGUUAAUCGGAAUUACUGGGCGUAAAGCGGGGGUAGGUGGUUUGUUAAGUUGGAAAUGAAAGGCCCGGGCUUAACCUGGGAAUUGCUUUCAAAACUAACGAGCUAGAGGAAGGUAGAAGGUAGUGGAAUUUUCUGUGUAGCGGUGAAAUGCGUAGAUAUGGGAAGGAACAUCAGUGGCGAAGGAGGCCACCUGGGAUAAUACUGACACUGAGGUGCGAAGGCGUGGGGAGCAAACAGG
rnacentral:rRNA from 1 species